rnacentral:rRNA from 1 species
GGUGAGCGCUGGCGGCGUGCUUAAGACAUGCAAGUCGAACGGCAGUCUUCGGACUGUAGUGGCGCACGGGUGAGUAACGCGUAACUGACCUACCCCAAAGUCGCGGAUAACGAUUCGAAAGAAUCGCUAAUACGUGAUGUGCUGUCAGAUUGUGUUCUGCCAGUAAAGAUUGAUUGCUUUGGGAUGGGGUUGCGUUCCAUCAGCUAGUUGGUGGGGUAAAGGCCCACCAAGGCGACGACGGAUAGCCGGCCUGGGAGGGUGGCCGGCCACAGGGGCACUGAGACACGGGUCCCACUCCUACGGGAGGCAGCAGUUAGGAAUCUUCCACAAUGGGCGAAAGCCUGAUGGAGCGACGCCGCGUGAGGGAUGAAGGUCUUCGGAUCGUAAACCUCUGAAUCAGGGACGAAAGACACUUCGGUGGGAUGACGGUACCUGAGUAAUAGCACCGGCUAACUCCGUGCCAGCCGCCGCCGUAACAC